AUUGAACGCUGGCGGCAGGCCUAACACAUGCAAGUCGAACGAGCGGCGGACGGGUGAGUAAUGUAUGGGGACUGCCCGAUAGAGGGGGAUAACAACUGGAAACGGUAUCUAAUACCGCAUCCUAUCGGAUAACCCAUAUGGGUUUAGCUAGUGGGUGAGGUAAUGGCUCACCAAGGCGACGAUCCCUAGCUGGUCUGCGAGGAGGAUCAGCCACACUGGGACUGAGACACGGCCCAGACUCCUACGGAGGCAGCAGUGGGGAAUAUUGCACAAUGGGCGCAAGCCUGAUGCGGCCAUGCCGCGUGUAGGAAGAAGGCCCUAGGGUUGUAAAGUACUUUCAUUGGGGAGGCGGUACCGACAGAGGAAGCACCGGCUAACUCCGUGCCAGCAGCCGCGGUAAUUC
rnacentral:rRNA from 1 species